UGCUGCUGAUGAUGAUGAUGUUGAUGACGAUGAUGAUGAUGCUUCUUUGUCUUCUCCAUCAACAUCAUCAUCAUCAUCAUCGCCAUCAUCAGUCCCC
rnacentral:pre_miRNA from 1 species